CAAUAGCGUAUAUUUAAGUUGUUGCAGUUAAAAAGCUCGUAGUUGGAUUUCGGGCGGGGCCUGCCGGUCCGCCUUUGGUGUGCACUGGCAGGGUCCGCCUUGCUGUCGGGGACGGGUUCCUGGGCUUUACUGUCUGGGACUCGGAGUCGACGUGGUUACUUUGAGUAAAUUAGAGUGUUCAAAGCAGGCUUACGCUCUGAAUACAUUAGCAUGGAAUAACGCGAUAGGACUCUGGCCUAUCUUGUUGGUCUGUGGGACCGGAGUAAUGAUUAAGAGGGACAGUCGGGGGCAUUCGUAUUUCAUUGUCAGAGGUG
rnacentral:rRNA from 1 species